rnacentral:rRNA from 1 species
AACGAACGCUGGCGGCAUGCCUAACACAUGCAAGUCGAACGAGACCUUCGGGUCUAGUGGCGCACGGGUGCGUAACGCGUGGGAAUCUGCCCUUGGGUUCGGAAUAACAGUUGGAAACGACUUCUAAUACCGGAUGAUGACGUAAGUCCAAAGAUUUAUCGCCCAAGGAUGAGCCCGCGUAGGAUUAGCUAGUUGGUGAGGUAAAGGCUCACCAAGGCGACGAUCCUUAGCUGGUCUGAGAGGAUGAUCAGCCACACUGGGACUGAGACACGGCCCAGACUCCUACGGGAGGCAGCAGUGGGGAAUAUUGGACAAUGGGCGAAAGCCUGAUCCAGCAAUGCCGCGUGAGUGAUGAAGGCCUUAGGGUUGUAAAGCUCUUUUACCCGGGAUGAUAAUGACAGUACCGGGAGAAUAAGCGCCGGCUAACUCCGUG